rnacentral:rRNA from 1 species
UGCCAGCCGCCGCGGUAAUACGUAGGUGGCAAGCGUUAUCCGGAAUUAUUGGGCGUAAAGCGCGCGUAGGCGGUUUUUUAAGUCUGAUGUGAAAGCCCACGGCUCAACCGUGGAGGGUCAUUGGAAACUGGAAAACUUGAGUGCAGAAGAGGAAAGUGGAAUUCCAUGUGUAGCGGUGAAAUGCGCAGAGAUAUGGAGGAACACCAGUGGCGAAGGCGACUUUCUGGUCUGUAACUGACGCUGAUGUCGAAAGGGGUGGGAAUAAAAAAGAAUAAGAUA